rnacentral:rRNA from 1 species
AUACGGAGGGGGCUAGCGUUGUUCGGAAUUACUGGGCGUAAAGCGCGCGUAGGCGGUCCGCGUAGUCAGGCGUGAAAGCCCCGGGCUCAACCUGGGAACUGCGUUUGAUACUGGCGGGCUAGAGUCCGGGAGAGGGUAGUGGAAUUCCCAGUGUAGAGGUGAAAUUCGUAGAUAUUGGGAAGAACACCAGUGGCGAAGGCGGCUACCUGGACCGGUACUGACGCUGAGGUGCGAAAGCGUGGGGAGCAAACAGGAGUAGAAACCCUGGUAGUCC